ACCAUAAUGGCUACAAGGUCAUCACGUUUAGUUUCUCUGGUUCUCUCUUUGAUUCUUCUGCUAUUAUUUGUCUCCUCUCAAGUUUGUCUUACGGAAGCUAUACGAAUUCCACGAAGAAUUUCACAGUCUCGCCCAAUUCCUUCUCCUUCCCGUCCCCCUCCCCCUCGUUACUAUACACCCCCUUCAAGAUCACGCCGAGGAGGUGGCCCAUAAGAAGGGUGUAUAAUAUAUGGAAAAAUUUACCUUCUAGAUCACUUUAUUAGUUAUGAAUAUCAUAGAAGUCACUUGUUUAUACAAGAGCACUUUUUCAUAAAGCCUCGUCACAAAGAGGGGAAAGAUACAACUCCAGUUGACUUUCAAUCAUAACUCAUUCUAACUAAAUAAUUAGAUUGGACGAGUCUCAUUUUCUGCCAUUGAUCUCUCAAUUAGACGGACGGCUAAGAGAGGCUUACCCAGAUCUGGACAAAACAACACUCUUCCACUAAUACAAACCGUCAGAUCUCACUUUGAUCUUUCAUAAUUGACGGUCGAGAUUAAUUAACGGUUUUAACCUCUGUCCUCAACUCACCGGCGUCUUUUUCACUUCUCCCUCACCUCGUUUCACCGUGGCCGUUCAUCAUUUUCACAACACCAAAUCUCUGUUAAUCAUCCACUCACAAGACCUGCUCCGGCAUCCAUUCGUGCCGCCAUGAACGCAUCCGUCGAUGCAGAUUCUCAGGCAUUGAUUCCGGCAUCUGCCCUCCUUCUUUCAUCCACAUAGAUUCUCCGAUGUUGGUUUCGGUUUUGGAUUCCGGCAUCUGUACAUAGAUUCUCCUUCUUUCAUCAACAUACACUUUGUACAUGUGUACACCAAGUAGCACUCUUGUACAUGUGUACAAUCAUUCGUCUUUAUGUUUGAUGGUUUUGAAGAUAAAGUUUUGAUCUGAUAUCUACUUCAUUACAUCUCUAUUUUUGACCUGUUGUAAAUUGUUUUGUUGACUAUGGAAACAGCUUUGGAGCACACAACGCAAAGACACAUAACGAUAUUACAAAGAAGAGAAGACAAGAAAGAAUCCAAUCUCGUCUUUCAUAUUUUCCUUCUCGGGAAUGCAUCGGGUUCUCCUUCAGUUUUGUAAUCUUUGAUAAUGCAUUGUGUAAUGUUUUGAAAGAUGAAAGAAGUGUACACAUGGAUAAAAAAAUUUGUUGUACACAGGUCAUAUGUUUCUUGCAUUAGGAAAGUUUAAAAGAAUGAGUGUACAAGUAGUCUCAUAAAAAACACGCUGUACAUAGAAUAAGAGUACACAUGGAUACUACUUUUUAUUGUACAAAUGGGUCAUGUUUCUU